AUGCCACCACAUGCUAUUACGAUUUUCUCGCUUACCCAUUUAGUUCAGGAUUUGGCCGUAAGGCACACUGAAAAGUAGGGAGUGAGAAGAAGAAGAAGAAAUACAGCCAAACGAGCCCUAAUUUACUCAAAUUCCAAGCUUCCAGUCUCCUAGGGUUUUGGGAAAACCUUGCGAAAAGGCCACAAGCAUGGAAGACGAUCAAAACAACAUAGCGAAGACGCAAGAGGAACGGAGGCGUAUGGAGCAGCAGUUGGCUGCGCUCAACUCCGUCGCGUACGACACGGAUCUAUACGGCGACACGAACAGGGAAGCCUACGUCUCGUCUAUUCCGGCCACCGACGACGAUGAGAACCUCGACGCCGUGGAGAACGACAUCGCGCGCAAGAUGGCUUCUUAUACCGCCCCCAAAUCGCUCUUGAAGGAUGCUCCUAGAGGGGGCGACGCCGAUGAAGAUGUGGGGUUUAAUAGGCCAAAAAAGAUUAUCGAUCGCGAGGAUGAGUAUCGGAGACGGAGGCUGCAACGCGUGUUUUCUCCGGAGAGAAUCGAUCCAUUUGCAAUGGGGGAGAAGACCCCGGACCCGUCUAUGAGGACCUAUGCGGAUGUGAUGAAGGAGGAGUCGUUGAGGAGGGAAAAGGAGGAGACUCUGAAACUUAUUGCGCAGAAGAAGAAGGAAGAAGAGGAGGCUGCCAAGGCCGGGAAAGUAGAUUCCGGUGGUGCUGCUGUUGCUCCUGUUGCCACGCAGAAGAGGAGGAAUAGGUGGGACCAAUCUCAGGACGAUGGAGUGGAGGCCGCGGCGGCGAAGAAGGCCAAGACUUCUGAUUGGGAUUUGCCCGAUAGUGGUGGCCCUGGAAGGUGGGAUGCUACCCCUACACCUGGUAGAGUCGCUGCUGAUGCAACCCCAUCACUUGCAAGGAGGAACAGAUGGGAUGAGACUCCCACUCCCGGACGCGUUGCAGAUUCCGAUGCUACGCCGGCUGGGGCUGUUACACCUGGUGCUACUCCUGCUGGGAUGACCUGGGAUGCUACUCCGAAGCUCGCUGGGCUUGCCACUCCAACUCCGAAAAAGCAGAGGUCUCGGUGGGAUGAGACUCCAGCGACUAUGGGCAGUGCAACUCCGAUGGCUGGAGCUACACCUGCUGCGGCUUAUACACCUGGAGUGACCCCUGUAGGAGGAGUUGAGCUUGCUACACCAACGCCAGGGGCUAUAAAUCUGCGCGGCCCAAUGACUCCGGAGCAGUAUAAUUUGUUGAGGUGGGAGAAAGAUAUUGAGGAGAGAAACCGUCCCUUGACUGAUGAAGAGCUUGAUGCAAUGUUUCCUCAAGAGGGGUAUAAGAUCUUGGAGCCUCCGCCUACAUAUGUGCCUAUUAGAACACCAGCUAGGAAACUGCUAGCAACCCCUACUCCUAUGGGGACUCCUCUCUAUUCGAUACCUGAAGAGAAUCGUGGGCAGCAGUUUGAUGUUCCAAAAGAAGCACCUGGUGGCUUGCCUUUCAUGAAGCCAGAGGAUUACCAGUAUUUUGGAGCGUUGUUGAAUGAAGAGGACGAGGAGGAAUUGUCUCCUGAAGAACAGAAAGAGCGUAAGAUUAUGAAGCUUUUGCUUAAGGUCAAGAAUGGUACACCUCCACAGAGGAAGACAGCGUUGAGACAGCUUACUGAUAAAGCUCGAGAGUUUGGUGCUGGUCCACUGUUUAACCGUAUUCUGCCAUUGCUUAUGCAACCCACUUUGGAAGACCAAGAGAGGCAUCUUUUGGUUAAGGUUAUUGAUAGGGUGCUUUAUAAAUUGGAUGAAUUGGUGCGUCCUUAUGUGCACAAGAUACUUGUGGUGAUAGAGCCGUUGUUGAUUGAUGAAGACUACUAUGCUCGAGUGGAAGGUAGAGAGAUCAUUUCGAAUCUUAGCAAAGCAGCUGGUUUGGCUACUAUGAUUGCAGCAAUGCGUCCCGAUAUUGACAACAUUGAUGAAUACGUUAGGAACACUACUGCAAGAGCUUUCAGUGUUGUUGCUUCUGCUCUUGGUAUUCCUGCACUGUUGCCAUUCUUGAAAGCUGUUUGUCAGAGUAAGAAGUCAUGGCAAGCACGGCACACUGGAAUCAAGAUAGUUCAGCAGAUUGCCAUUUUAAUAGGCUGUGCUGUUCUGCCCCACUUAAGGUCUCUUGUGGAAAUCAUAGAGCAUGGACUGAAUGAUGAGAAUCAGAAGGUGCGAACAAUUACUGCAUUGUCUCUUGCUGCGCUUGCUGAGGCUGCUGCUCCAUAUGGUAUUGAAAGCUUUGACUCGGUUCUGAAGCCAUUGUGGAAGGGUAUUAGGUCACACCGUGGGAAGGUCUUGGCUGCAUUCUUGAAAGCCAUUGGUUUUAUUAUUCCUCUUAUGGAUGCUAUAUAUGCUAGUUAUUACACCAAGGAAGUCAUGGUUAUAUUAAUUCGAGAGUUCCAGUCACCUGAUGAAGAAAUGAAGAAAAUUGUGUUGAAAGUGGUGAAACAGUGUGUGAGUACCGAGGGUGUAGAGUCUGACUAUAUUAGAAAUGAUAUUCUUCCUGAGUUCUUCAGAAACUUUUGGGUUAGAAGGAUGGCAUUAGAUAGAAGAAACUAUAAGCAACUAGUAGAGACAACUGUGGAGAUGGCAAACAAAGUAGGUGUUGCUGAUAUUGUUGGAAGAAUUGUUGAGGAUCUCAAAGACGAGAGUGAACCAUAUAGGCGAAUGGUAAUGGAAACCAUUGAAAAGGUGGUAGCAAAUCUGGGUGCAUCAGAUAUUGAUUCUCGCUUGGAGGAACUUCUGAUUGAUGGUAUUCUUUAUGCUUUCCAAGAGCAGACCAGUGACGAUGCCAAUGUCAUGCUUAAUGGGUUUGGAGCGGUUGUGAAUUCUCUUGGGCAGAGAGUGAAACCAUACUUACCUCAGAUAUGUGGUACCAUCAAGUGGCGCUUGAAUAACAAGAGUGCUAAGGUGAGGCAACAAGCAGCUGAUCUAAUUUCAAGAAUUGCUGUUGUCAUGAAACAGUGCCAAGAGGAACAACUGAUGGGUCAUCUUGGUGUUGUCUUGUAUGAGUAUCUGGGAGAAGAAUACCCAGAAGUUUUGGGAUCAAUUCUGGGUGCACUCAAGGCAAUUGUCAACGUCAUUGGUAUGACAAAGAUGACACCUCCUAUAAAGGAUUUGCUUCCCAGACUUACUCCCAUUUUGAAAAAUAGGCAUGAAAAAGUACAGGAGAACUGUAUUGAUCUUGUAGGUAGAAUUGCAGAUCGUGGUGCCGAGUUUGUUCCAGCGAGGGAGUGGAUGAGGAUCUGUUUUGAACUUCUUGAGAUGCUCAAGGCCCAUAAGAAGGGCAUCAGGCGAGCUACUGUAAACACGUUUGGUUAUAUUGCCAAAGCCAUUGGGCCACAAGAUGUCCUUGCAACCUUGUUGAACAAUCUGAAGGUGCAGGAAAGACAGAACCGUGUUUGCACAACUGUGGCAAUUGCAAUAGUAGCUGAAACCUGUUCACCUUUCACGGUUUUGCCAGCUCUGAUGAACGAAUAUAGAGUUCCAGAGCUGAAUGUGCAGAAUGGUGUGCUGAAAUCUCUCUCUUUUCUGUUCGAGUACAUUGGAGAAAUGGGAAAAGAUUACAUUUAUGCAGUCACGCCGUUGCUAGAGGAUGCUUUGAUGGAUAGAGAUCUAGUUCACAGGCAAACAGCAGCUUCUGCUGUCAAGCACAUGGCAUUGGGGGUGGCUGGAUUGGGUUGUGAGGAUGCAUUAGUCCACUUGCUGAAUUAUGUAUGGCCAAACAUAUUUGAGACUUCCCCACAUGUCAUAAAUGCUGUCAUGGAAGCCAUUGAAGGGAUGAGAGUGGCUUUGGGUGCUGCUAUUGUUCUAAACUACUGCCUCCAGGGGCUGUUCCAUCCAGCCCGGAAAGUUCGAGAAGUGUACUGGAAGAUCUAUAACUCGCUGUAUAUCGGAGCUCAAGAUGCGCUUGUAGCAGCUUAUCCAUCGCUGGAGGAUGAGCACAACAACGUAUACAGUAGGCCCGAGCUGUUGAUGUUCGUCUGAGGUGCAUUUUGUUUGUUGCCAAGGGUAAAUUGAUAACAGCAGCUAAUUGAGGAGAUUUGUUUUCAUAUACAUGCCUUUCACGCCUCCAUGUGGAGUGUUUCACCAUCUUCGAUGGAAGAUUCAAUCAAUAAUGCCAAUUGAAAGGUUCUUUCUAUUUGCUAAGCAAUCUGUGGUGCAUUCGGAUCUCAAUUGAUCAUGCAGAGAUAAGGUAAGAGUUCUUUUAGAAAGAAAAUAUCUGAGGAAGGUGUUGAGAAGAAUGUAGGAAUCCAAAUGUGACCUAUCUGUAAAAUUGGUUUUGGUUUCUAUGGGGCCUUGUACUCAUCUACCAUAUACCAUAUUGGAGGUAAGAAAUUGAACGAUGAAAACCCCUUUCCUUCUCUC